GACGAACGCUGGCGGCGUGCCUAAUGCAUGCAAGUCGCACGGGGUCUUCGGACCCGGUGGCGCACGGCUGAGGAGCACGUGGCUGACCUACCCCGGCGUGGGGGAUAACGGGCCGAAAGGCUCGCUAAUCCCGCAUACGAUCACCCUCGCGGGUGAGGAAAGCUUCGGCGCGCUGGGCGGGGCCGCGUCCCAUUAGGUUG
rnacentral:rRNA from 1 species